AGUGAACGCUGGCGGUAGGCCUAACACAUGCAAGUCGAACGGCAGCACAGUAAGAGCUUGCUCUUACGGGUGGCGAGUGGCGGACGGGAGAGGAAUACAUCGGAAUCUACUUUUUCGUGGGGGAUAACGUAGGGAAACUUACGCUAAUACCGCAUACGACCUACGGGUGAAAGCAGGGGAUCUUCGGACCUUGCGCGAUUGAAUGAGCCGAUGUCGGAUUAGCUAGUUGGCGGGGUAAAGGCCCACCAAGGCGACGAUCCGUAGCUGGUCUGAGAGGAUGAUCAGCCACACUGGAACUGAGACACGGUCCAGACUCCUACGGGAGGCAGCAGUGGGGAAUAUUGGACAAUGGGCGCAAGCCUGAUCCAGCCAUACCGCGUGGGUGAAGAAGGCCUUCGGGUUGUAAAGCCCUUUUGUUGGGAAAGAAAAGCAGCAGGUUAAUACCCCGCUGUUCUGACGGUACCCAAUGAAUAAGCACCGGCUAACUUCGUG
rnacentral:rRNA from 1 species